rnacentral:lncRNA from 1 species
UGUUACUGGUAUAUGUGCAAACAGUGAAUAAGAGGGUGAUAUGAAAUUGCAUUUAUUCUCUUCACUUCUUACCUCGAGAAUGCAAUUUCAGAACAGCCCCUGGAGAUGAGCUCCUUCAGGUAGCUGGGGUGAUGCACUGAGCAGGACGCAGUAUGCAGUUCUGAGCUUUCAAGCUUAGGAUCAGAGGCUAUGAGGCUCGGAGGCCCUGAGAAAUGAUCCAGUCACUGCUGCUCACUGCACAGAUGAGAAGGCUAAGGACCAGAGAGACUAAUGACCUGCCCUGCGUCACUCAGAUAGUAACAAAGGCAAAAGCAUUAGAAUCAUGC